rnacentral:rRNA from 1 species
AACGCGAAGAACCUUACCGGGGCUUGACAUCCCGUGACCAUCUAGGAGACUAGGUUUUCCCGCAAGGGAACACGGAGACAGGUGCUGCAUGGCUGUCGUCAGCUCGUGCCGUGAGGUGUUGGGUUAAGUCCCGCAACGAGCGCAACCCUUGUCGUGUGUUGGUCGCAAGAUCUCUCACACGAGACCGCCGGUGACAAGCCGGAGGAAGGUGGGGAUGACGUCAAGUCAGCAUGGCCCUUACGUCCCGGGCUACACACGUGCUACAAUGGGGAGGACAGCGAGUCGCGAACCCGCGAGGGCAAGCUAAUCUCUUAAACCUCUCCUCAGUUCGGAUUGGAGGCUGCAACUCGCCUCCAUGAAGUCGGAAUCGCUAGUAACCGCAGAUCAGCUACGCUGCGGUGAAUACGUUCCCGGGCCUUGUACACACCGACAUA